UUGAAUUGACCAGUUUUCGGUCUAAAAUGCCCAGCUCUACUUAGAGGCACUCCAAAGAUAAAAUCUCAUCUCAUCCUCCACUAGGAACUUUGACCUAGGUUUUGUAAGGCACAUAAAUCACUUGGCUUUGAAGAUACUAGGAAAAGGUUUUGAUUUUUGAAAUCAUGAAUGUAUGAGCUUUGGUUGCCGUGAUAGUUUAAUAUUCGUGUAGAUGGUCAAAUGAAACUCUAGUUUUCUAUAUAUGUGCUUUUCAAUUUAAGUAAAUAAGUUUCACAUAUGAAAUAUCUAUAAAAGAUUACUCCUACCCUAGAUUACACUACUAAUUUGAUGACUUUGGUGCUAGACUUAUUCUACUUCUUUAUGCUUACUUGUAAGGUUGAAUUUCUUGCUCUACAAGUAGUAGAAUCUUCUUAUGAUUGCAGAUAAGUAUCAAAGAAAAUCUUGCUUUGAGUAGUAAAUAAAAUCUCUUCAUAAUUUCUCAAGAGAUUUAUCUUCAUUCCAAACCAUCCAAGAUAUUUGCAUAUAAUUAUUAUAUUAUAAAAAUAUGUGGAAAAAAAUCAUAACAAAU
rnacentral:lncRNA from 1 species